AGUGAACGCUGGCGGUAGGCCUAACACAUGCAAGUCGAACGGCAGCACAGUAAGAGCUUGCUCUUACGGGUGGCGAGUGGCGGACGGGUGAGGAAUACAUCGGAAUCUACUUUUUCGUGGGGGAUAACGUAGGGAAACUUACGCUAAUACCGCAUACGACCUACGGGUGAAAGCAGGGGAUCUUCGGACCUUGCGCGAUUGAAUGAGCCGAUGUCGGAUUAGCUAGUUGGCGGGGUAAAGGCCCACCAAGGCGACGAUCCGUAGCUGGUCUGAGAGGAUGAUCGGCCACACUGGAACUGAGACACGGUCCAGACUCCUACGGGAGGCAGCAGUGGGGAAUAUUGGACAAUGGGCGCAAGCCUGAUCCAGCCAGACCGCGUGGGUGAAGAAGGCCUUCGGGUUGUAAAGCCCUUUUGUUGGGAAAGAAAAGCAGCAGGUUAAUACCCCGCUGUUCUGACGGUACCCAAAGAAUAAGCACCGGCUAACUUCGU
rnacentral:rRNA from 1 species